rnacentral:rRNA from 1 species
UACGGGGGGGAGCAAGCGUUGUUCGGAUUUACUGGGCGUAAAGGGCGCGUAGGCGGCGUGACAAGUCACUUGUGAAAUCUCCGGGCUUAACUCGGAACGGUCAAGUGAUACUGUCGUGCUAGAGUACAGAAGGGGCAACUGGAAUUCUCGGUGUAGCGGUGAAAUGCGUAGAUAUCGAGAGGAACACCUGCGGCGAAGGCGGGUUGCUGGGCUGAUACUGACGCUGAGGCGCGAAAGCUAGGGAGCGAACGGG